AACGUAGGACGCAAGCGUUAUCCGGAGUUACUGGGCGUAAAGGGCGGGCAGGCGGGUCGAUAAGUCGGAUGUGAAAUCUCCCUGGCUUAACCGGGAGAGUGCAUUUGAGACUGUCAACCUGGAGGGCAGCAGAGGAGCGUGGAAUUCCGGGUGGAGUGGUGGAAAUGCGUAGAGAUCCGGAGGAACACCAGAGGCGAAAGCGGCGCUCUGGGCUGCGAC
rnacentral:rRNA from 1 species